rnacentral:tRNA from 1 species
AAAAUCUUAAGUUAAAAAAACUAUUUACCUUCAAAGUAAAAAUUAUAUUUUAUAGGUUUUA